rnacentral:rRNA from 1 species
AGGUAAGCUACUAAGAGCGAAUGGUGGAUGCCUUGACUGGUAAAGGCGAUGAAGGACGUACUAGACUGCGAUAAGCUACGGGGAGCUGUCAAGAAGCUUUGAUCCGUAGAUUUCCGAAUGGGGCAACCCAAUGUAUAGAGAUAUACAUUACCUAUAUAGGAGCGAACGAGGGGAAUUGAAACAUCUUAGUACCCUCAGGAAAAGAAAUCAAUAGAGAUUGCGUCAGUAGCGGCGAGCGAAAGCGCAAGAGGGCAAACCCAGUGCUUGCACUGGGGGUUGUAGGACUGCAAUGUGCAAGAGCUGAGUUUAGCAGAACAUUCUGGAAAGUAUAGCCAUAGAGGGUGAUAGUCCCGUAUGCGAAAAACAAAGCUUAGCUAGCAGUAUCCUGAGUAGGGCGGGACACGAGGAAUCCUGUCUGAAUCUGGGUCGACCACGAUCCAACCCUAAAUACUAAUACCAGAUCGAUAGUGCACAAGUACCGUGAGGGAAAGGUGAAAAGAACUGAGGUGAUCAGAGUGAAAUAGAACCUGAAACCAUUUGCUUACAAUCAUUCAGAGCACUAUGUAGCAAUACAGUGUGAUGGACUGCCUUUUGCAUAAUGAGCCUGCGAGUUGUGGUGUCUGGCAAGGUUAAGCAAACGCGAAGCCGUAGCGAAAGCGAGUCUGAAUAGGGCGCUUAGUCAGAUGCUGCAGACCCGAAACGAAGUGAUCUAUCCAUGAGCAAGUUGAAGCUAGUGUAAGAACUAGUGGAGGACUGAACCCAUAGGCGUUGAAAAGCCCCGGGAUGACUUGUGGAUAGGGGUGAAAGGCCAAUCAAACUUCGUGAUAGCUGGUUCUCUCCGAAAUAUAUUUAGGUAUAGCGUUGUGUCGUAAUAUAAGGGGGUAGAGCACUGAAUGGGCUAGGGCAUACACCAAUGUACCAAACCCUAUCAAACUCCGAAUACCUUAUAUGUAAUCACAGCAGUCAGGCGGCGAGUGAUAAAAUCCGUCGUCAAGAGGGAAACAACCCAGACUACCAGCUAAGGUCCCUAAAUCUUACUUAAGUGGAAAACGAUGUGAAGUUACUUAAACAACCAGGAGGUUGGCUUAGAAGCAGCCAUCCUUUAAAGAAAGCGUAAUAGCUCACUGGUCUAGUGAUUUUGCGCGGAAAAUAUAACGGGGCUAAAGUAAGUACCGAAGCUGUAGACUUGCACACAACUU